rnacentral:rRNA from 1 species
GAUCCUGGCUCAGGAUGAACGCUGGCGGCGUGCCUAAUACAUGCAAGUAGAACGCUGAAGCUUGGUGCUUGCACCGAGCGGAUGAGUUGCGAACGGGUGAGUAACGCGUAGGUAACCUGCCUGGUAGCGGGGGAUAACUAUUGGAAACGAUAGCUAAUACCGCAUAACAGUCGACAUUGCAUGAUGUUGAUUUGAAAGGGGCAAUUGCUCCACUACCAGAUGG